GUACGCUGGCGGCACGCCUAACACAUGCAAGUCGAACGAAGUAGCAAUACUUAGUGGCAGACGGGUGAGUAACAUGUAGGUAUCUGCCCUUUGGCCUGGAAUAACACGAGGAAACUUGUGCUAAUACUGGAUAAGUCUUUACGGAGAAAGCUUUAUGCACCAUUGGAUGAGCCUGCACUUGAUUAGUUUGUUGGUAGGGUAAUGGCCUACCAAGACUGUGAUCAAUAGCUGAUUUGAGAGGAUGAUCAGCCACAUUGGGACUGAGACACGGCCCAAACUCCUACGGGAGGCAGCAGUGGGGAAUCUUGCACAAUGGAGGAAACUCUGAUGCAGCGAUGCCGCGUGAGUGAAGAAGGCCCUUGGGUUGUAAAGCUCUUUCGUCGGGGAAGAAAAUGACUGUACCCGAAUAAGAAGGUCCGG
rnacentral:rRNA from 1 species